rnacentral:lncRNA from 1 species
AAAGAUUGGAUACAUAAUCAAUAAUAAUAGAGUUAAUAAUCUGGCACAAUAAUAAUAUAAUUCUGAAACUUUCUUACUCAUGUCCAUUGCAUAAAGUAAAUGCAAAAGUAGGAUACUUGCCUGAUGCGCUGCUUACAGUUCACAACUUAGUUUUAUCGAUUAUAUCUCAACCUAUCAUUAAUCAGAUCAUUCGUUCAAUUAGAACAAUAUAUUAUAACACAUAGUACUACAUUUCGCAGUCAGCACAUAACCUAAUCACAUUAUUAUCUAUGUUUAACAACCAUUGAAUCACAAAUAAUCACAUAUCUAAUUACAUUAUCUAAGUCCAGAUCAAUUUCUGAAACAUGUCAGUAUACCGACAAUUUUAUUGGGUAAUUAUCGAGUCUAAGACUCUUUCCUAUAACUUAG